rnacentral:rRNA from 1 species
UACGGUACNCGUCGUAUACAGGGGGAUAACACUUAGAAAUAGGUGCUAAUACCGCAUAAGCGCACAGAGCCGCAUGGCUCAGUGUGAAAAACUCCGGUGGUGUAAGAUGGAUCCGCGUCUGAUUAGCUAGUUGGCGGGGUAGAAGCCCACCAAGGCGACGAUCAGUAGCCGGCCUGAGAGGGUGAACGGCCACAUUGGGACUGAGACACGGCCCAAACUCCUACGGAAGGCAGCAG